UACGUAGGGUGCGAGCGUUAAUCGGAAUUACUGGGCGUAAAGCGUGCGCAGGCGGUUUUGUAAGCCAGAUGUGAAAUCCCCGGGCUCAACCUGGGAACUGCAUUUGUGACUGUAGAGCUGGGGUGCGGCAGAGGGGGAUGGAAUUCCGCGUGUAGCAGUGAAAUGCGUAGAUAUGCGGAGGAACACCGAUGGCGAAGGCAAUCCCCUGGGCCUGUACUGACGCUCAUGCACGAAAGCGUGGGGAGCAAACAGG
rnacentral:rRNA from 1 species